AUACGGAGGGGGCUAGCGUUGUUCGGAAUUACUGGGCGUAAAGCGCGCGUAGGCGGAUUGAUCAGUCAGGGGUGAAAUCCCGAGGCUUAACCUCGGAACUGCCUUUGAUACUGUCAAUCUUGAGUUCGAGAGAGGUGAGUGGAAUUCCUAGUGUAGAGGUGAAAUUCGUAGAUAUUAGGAAGAACACCAGUGGCGAAGGCGGCUCACUGGCUCGAUACUGACGCUGAGGUGCGAAAGCGUGGGGAGCAAACAGGAUUAGAAACCCAAGUAGUCC
rnacentral:rRNA from 1 species